rnacentral:tRNA from 1 species
GUUCAUGUAGUUUACUAAAAUAUAGCACUGAAAAUACUAAGACGGAAACUAAAACCUCCCAUGAACA